GCAGUCGAGCGCGCCCUUCGGGGUGAGCGGCGGACGGGUGAGUAACGCGUGGGAACGUGCCCUUUGCUGCGGAAUAGCCACUGGAAACGGUGAGUAAUACCGCAUGAGCCCUUCGGGGGAAAGAUUUAUCGGCAAGGGAUCGGCCCGCGUUGGACUAGGUAGUUGGCGGGGUAAUGGCCUACCAAGCCGACGAUCCAUAGCUGGUUUCAGAGGAUGAUCAGCCACACUGGGACUGAGACACGGCCCAGACUCCUACGGGAGGCAGCAGUGGGGAAUCUUAGACAAUGGGCGCAAGCCUGAUCUAGCCAUGCCGCGUGAGUGACGAAGGCCCUAGGGUCGUAAAGCUCUUUCGCCUGUGAAGAUAAUGACGGUAGCAGGUAAAGAAACCCCGGCUAACUCCGUGCCAGCAGCCGCGGUAAUACGGAGGGGGUUAGCGUUGUUCGGAAUUACUGGGCGUAAAGCGCGCGUAGGCGGACCAUCAAGUUGGGGGUGAAAUCCCGGGGCUCAACCCCGGAACUGCCUCCAAAACUGGCGGUCUGGAGUUCGAGAGAGGUGAGUGGAAUUCCGAGUGUAGAGGUGAAAUUCGUAGAUAUUCGGAGGAACACCAGUGGCGAAGGCGGCUCACUGGCUCGAGACUGACGCUGAGGUGCGAAAGUGUGGGGAGCAAACAGGAUUAGAUACCCUGGUAGUCCACACCGUAAACGAUGAAUGCCAGUCGUCGGCAAGCAUGCUUGUCGGUGACACACCUAACGGAUUAAGCAUUCCGCCCUGGGGAGUACGGCCGCAAGGUUACAACUCAAAUGAAUUGACGAA
rnacentral:rRNA from 1 species